rnacentral:rRNA from 1 species
GACGAACGCUGGCGGCGUGCUUAACACAUGCAAGUCGAACGGAAAGGCCCCUUUGGGGGUACUCGAGUGGCGACCGGGUGAGUAACACGUGAGUAACCUGCCCUUGACUUCGGGAUAACUUCAUCUUACUGGGGCUAAUACCGGUUCGGAAUCCUUUCUUCAUGGUGGGGGUUGGAAAGCUUCGGCGGUUUUGGGUGUCCUCGCGGCUUAUCUGCUUGUUGGUGGGGUAGUUGCUUACCAAGGCUUUUUCGGGUAGCCGGCCUGAGGGGGCGACCGGCCACAUUGGGACUGAGAUACGGCACAGACACCUAAGGGAGGAAGAAGUGGGGAAUAUUGAAAAAUGGGCGGAAGGCUGAUGCAGAAAGGCCGCGUGCGGGAAGACGGCGUUAGGGUUGAAAACCGCUUUCAGAAGGGGCGAAGCUUGUGGUGACGGUACCUGCAGAAGAAGCACCGGCUAACUACGUG